GCUAUGCAAAUUUCAAAUCACUAUCAUUCAUUUCUUUAGAAAGUCUUUGUGUUUACGGUUUAUAACAGGGAGGCGACUGCAUGCAUAAGGGAUGCCUUUACAAUAUCACACGACAUGCAUGCAGUCGCCUUUGAAUUUCUUAUUGUUCCCGUCAUAAACCGUAAACACAAAGAAUUUCUAAAAAAAUGAAUGAUAGUGAUUUGAAAUAUGCAGAGC